rnacentral:rRNA from 1 species
GCCUGAGAAACGGCUACCACAUCCAAGGAAGGCAGCAGGCGCGCAAAUUACCCACUCCCGGCACGGGGAGGUAGUGACGAAAAAUAACGAUACGGGACUCAUCCGAGGCCCCGUAAUCGGAAUGAGUACACUUUAAAUCCUUUAACGAGGAUCAAUUGGAGGGCAAGUCUGGUGCCAGCAGCCGCGGUAAUUCCAGCUCCAAUAGCGUAUAUUAAAGUUGUUGCGGUUAAAAAGCUCGUAGUCGAAUUUGUGUCCCGCGCCGUCGGUUCGCCGCUCGCGGCGUUUAAUUGGCGUGUUGCGGGACGUCAUGCCGGUGGGCUUAGCUCGUCUCGUUCGCGCGAGUCGGGCGGUCCAACUUUUAUACCCGUCGCGGUGCUCUUCGUUGAGUGUCGAGGCGGGCCGGCACGUUUACUUUGAACAAAUUAGAGUGCUUAAAGCAGGCUAAAAUAUUGCCUGGAUAUUGUGUGCAUGGAAUAAUAAAAUAGGAUCUCGGUUCUAUUUUGUUGGUUUUCGGAACUCCGAGGUAAUGAUUAAUAGGAACGGAUGGGGGCAUUCGUAUUGCGACGUUAGAGGUGAAAUUCUUGGAUCGUCGCAAGACGGACUAAAGCGAAAGCAUUUGCCAAAAACGCUUUCAUUGAUCAAGAACGAAAGUUAGAGGUUCGAAGGCGAUCAGAUACCGCCCUAGUUCUAACCAUAAACGAUGCCAGCCAGCGAUCCGCCGAAGUUCCUCCGAUGACUCGGCGGGCAGCUUCCGGGAAACCAAAGCUUUUGGGUUCCGGGGGAAGUAUGGUUGCAAAGCUGAAACUUAAAGGAAUUGACGGAAGGGCACCACCAGGAGUGGAGCCUGCGGCUUAAUUUGACUCAACACGGGAAACCUCACCAGGUCCGGACACCGGAAGGAUUGACAGAUUGAGAGCUCUUUCUUGAUUCGGUGGGUGGUGGUGCAUGGCCGUUCUUAGUUGGUGGAGCGAUUUGUCUGGUUAAUUCCGAUAACGAACGAGACUCUGGCCUACUAAAUAGGCGAUUUCGACAUCUCGAAGGCCCGCCGGCCGACGUUCGCGCGUCGCGCCGUGCGCGGUUUUUACUGUCGACGCUAUAUAAAUUCUUCUUAGAGGGACAGGCGACUUCUAGUCGCACGAGAUUGAGCAAUAACAGGUCUGUGAUGCCCUUAGAUGUCCUGGGCCGCACGCGCGCUACACUGAAGGAAUCAACGUGUCUUCCUUGGCCGAGAGGUCCGGGUAACCCGCUGAAACUCCUUCGUGCUAGGGAUUGGGGCUUGCAAUUGUUCCCCAUGAACGAGGAAUUCCCAGUAAGCGCGGAUCAUAAGUUCGCGUUGAUUACGUCCCUGCCCUUUGUACACACCGCCCGUCGCUACUACCGAUUGAAUGAUUUAGUGAGGUCUUCGGAUCGGUACGCGUUGACGCCUUUUAGGCGUUGCCGGUGUUACCGAAAAGAUGACCAAACUUGAUCAUUU